UUGCCUUGGCAGGUCGUGGUGUGUAGCGUGAUCACUAUAGAGGAUCACCGCCUCGCACCACGCUGAAAGACCUGUCAAAGGACCCCUAAACUCUGUCUUACAACUGUAUCUCUGAGUCUAUUAUAUAAACAAGUUAAAACUUUCAACAACGGAUCUCUUGGCUCUGGCAUCGAUGAAGAACGCAGCGAAAUGCGAUAAGUAAUGUGAAUUGCAGAAUUCAGUGAAUCAUCGAAUCUUUGAACGCACAUUGCGCCUGAUAGUAUUCUGUCAGGCAUGCCUGUUCGAGCGUCAUUUCAACCCCCAAGCCCUAAUCUGCUUGACGUUGGGAGUUUACGGAGACGUAAUUCCUCAAAUAUAGUGGCGGAGCUAGGUCGUGCUCUAAGCGUAGUAACCACACUCUCGCUUCUGCAGCCUGCCUAGGUCUUGCCGUAAAACCCCUAUAUUUAUUUUUUACUGGUUGACCUCGGAUCAGGUAGGAAUACCCGCUGA
rnacentral:rRNA from 1 species